UACGAAGGGGGCUAGCGUUGCUCGGAAUUACUGGGCGUAAAGCGCACGUAGGCGGAUUGUUAAGUCGGGGGUGAAAUCCUGGAGCUCAACUCCAGAACUGCCUUCGAUACUGGAAGACUUGAGUCCGGGAGAGGUGAGUGGAACUGCGAGUGUAGAGGUGAAAUUCGUAGAUAUUCGCAAGAACACCAGUGGCGAAGGCGGCUCACUGGCCCGGUACUGACGCUGAGGUGCGAAAGCGUGGGGAGCAAACAGG
rnacentral:rRNA from 1 species